GACGAACGCUGGCGGCGUGCCUAAUACAUGCAAGUUGAGCGAUGAAGAUUGGUGCUUGCACCAAUUUGAAGAGCAGCGAACGGGCGAGUAACGCGUGGGGAAUCUGCCUUUGAGCGGGGGACAACAUUUGGAAACGAAUGCUAAUACCGCAUAACAACUUUAAACAUAAGUUUUAAGUUUGAAAGAUGCAAUUGCAUCACUCAAAGAUGAUCCCGCGUUGUAUUAGCUAGUUGGUGAGGUAAAGGCUCACCAAGGCGAUGAUACAUAGCCGACCUGAGAGGGUGAUCGGCCACAUUGGGACUGAGACACGGCCCAAACUCCUACGGGAGGCAGCAGUAGGGAAUCUUCGGCAAUGGACGAAAGUCUGACCGAGCAACGCCGCGUGAGUGAAGAAGGGUGUCGGAUCGUAAAACUCUGUUGGUAGAGAAGAACGUUGGUGAGAGUGGAAAGCUCAUCAAGUGACGGUAACUACCCAGAAAGGGACGGCUAACUACGUG
rnacentral:rRNA from 1 species